rnacentral:rRNA from 1 species
UACGUAGGGUGCAAGCGUUGUCCGGAAUUAUUGGGCGUAAAGAGCUCGUAGGCGGUUUGUCACGUCGGAUGUGAAAACUCGGGGCUCAACCCCGAGCCUGCAUUCGAUACGGGCAGACUUGAGUUCGGCAGGGGAGACUGGAAUUCCUGGUGUAGCGGUGAAAUGCGCAGAUAUCAGGAGGAACACCGAUGGCGAAGGCAGGUCUCUGGGCCACUACUGACGCUGAGAAGCGAAAGCGUGGGGAGCGAACAGG